UACAGAGGUCUCAAGCGUUGUUCGGAUUCAUUGGGCGUAAAGGGUGCGUAGGCGGCGCGGUAAGUCGGGUGUGAAAUCUCGGAGCUUAACUCCGAAACUGCAUUCGAUACUGCCGUGCUUGAGGACUCGAGAGGAGACUGGAAUUUACGGUGUAGCGGUGAAAUGCGUAGAUAUCGUAAGGAAGACCAGUGGCGAAGGCGGGUCUCUGGACAGUUCCUGACGCUGAGGCACGAAGGUCAGGGGAGCAAACGGG
rnacentral:rRNA from 1 species